rnacentral:rRNA from 1 species
UGCCAGCAGCCGCGGUAAUACGGAGGGGGCAAGCGUUGUUCGGAAUUAUUGGGCGUAAAGAGUAUGUAGGCGGCUGGAUAAGUCAGACGUGUAAGCCCACGGCUCAACCGUGGAAUUGCGUUUGAAACUAUUCAGCUUGAGUACAGGAGAGGAAGGCGGAAUUCCCAGUGUAGCGGUGAAAUGCAUUGAUAUUGGGAAGAACACCGGUGGCGAAGGCGGCCUUCUGGUCUGUUACUGACGCUGAGAUACGAAAGCCAGGGGAGCAAAGGGGAUUAGAUA